rnacentral:misc_RNA from 1 species
CACACUCCAAGCGAAGCUUGAUGUUGGACGAUACGGUUCUCUGUUCGGGAGGAUCGUACGUCUGGAACACGUAGGCGCCUACCGCCGGAUCACGAGCGUAUGCAAGACAUUAUCAGUCAAUUUCGUUCAGUGAGUUUCCGACGGAGGGCGGCCUCAUUAUUUUCUGCAUCUCAGAAA